AUUGAACGCUGGCGGCAUGCUUUACACAUGCAAGUCGAACGGUAACAGGCCGCAAGUUGCUGACGAGUGGCGAACGGGUGAGUAAUGCAUCGGAACGUGCCCAGUCGUGGGGGAUAACUGCUCGAAAGAGCAGCUAAUACCGCAUACGAUCUAUGGUUGAAAGCGGGGGACCGUAAGGCCUCGCGCGAUUGGCGCGGCCGAUGUCAGAUUAGGUCGUUGGUGGGGUAAAGGCUCACCAAGCCAACGAUCUGUAGCUGGUCUGAGAGUAAGACCAGCCAGACUGGGAAUGGGAAAAGGCCCAGAUUCCUACGGGGGGGAGCUAUGGUGAAUUUUUGACAAUGGGGUCAACCCGGAUCCAGCAAUGCCGCGUGCAGGAAGAAGGCCUUCGGGUUGUAAACUGCUUUUGUACGGAACGAAACGGUCUGGGUUAAUACCCUGGGCUAAUGACGGUACCGUAAGAAUAAGCACCGGCUAACUACGUGCCAGCAGCCGCGGUAAGAC
rnacentral:rRNA from 1 species